UUCGUCCUCGCGAUCCUGCGAACAGAUUUUUCCGAACGCUCGACACGACCACAAGUCUCAUAGUUUCCUUAAAGUGCGUGAUAAAACAUUGUGUCUACGAAAGGAUUGCUAGCUCUAUAAAUCUGAAUCAUCGAACGAGGAUUAUUAAUAAAGUCAAAGAAAACUAGUCUUCUCGAUUACGUUUCCCGAGGCAUUUUUUUUCCUGGAAAACGCGUGAAAGCACUGAACAUUCGCCCACAACAGUAAUCAACAAAAUAUUAUAAAUAUAAUAAAAUAUAUAUUACGAAGAAUUAGAAAAAGGAACAUGUAUAUAUAUAUGAAAGUGAUCCUUAGUUUCAUUGCGUUGUGAAAAACGUAUGGAACGCAGAACUAGUUACACGUUUAUAUUUAUCGCAAGCGCAUUGCAUGACUCACGAACGCGGAAGGAUAAUGCAUUAAUAACGACGUUAUCUUAGACGGUAUUAUGUAAAUAAUCGAUUGAAGCUGUCCUUGAGACAAAGAUAAUACGAUAAUCGUUUUGGAUGAAAGAGUGCACGGACAAAUAUUUGAUUCCAUUCCUAAGAAGAUGAAAAAUGACAGCAUAAAAAAGAGCCCUAUUGUCAUUAGCCUUUUGCAAUUGCAAUUAGCAAAUGCGAACAUUGAGAGUGAAAAAAGUGAAUUGAUUAAUAAAUUCACUUAUAUUGUGAUAUUGUGUUACAUAAAUUUUUAUCUGCAGAUUUUCUGUAGUUGGAGACUUUUGAAAAUUUAAUAAUCCGAUAUUAUAUGGUUAUGUGAUAUCAGAUACCAUAUAAUACAAAUUAUAUAAGCUGUUUUUUUUCUGAAUGUUUAAUAGUGUUCACAUAUAAACUCCAACUCUCUGAAUUCUCUGAGUUGACGUCAUCCCAAUUAGCUGACGCAAAUCUAUUUAAGACAACGCUUGGAAUAGAAGAAUCAAAACACGAAUGAAGAGGUAGCUAGUAUGUGCGUAUUACUGUAUGAGUAUUAAUUUAGCUGUGCAUAAAAUUUGCACAACUAUAAGUCUUCAUGAGCAGUCGCAUAAGUCUUCAGAACUUAAAGUGUACUUAAAGUGUACUUAAAGGAAUUGGCUUAAAUAUAUGAUUUAAAAUAAUCUAUGCAGAAAUUCUUGAGAAAGGAAAACGAUGAUUGAACAUAUCAAUGAUGAAUAGAAUUAUAUUUUUAUAGAAA